AUAGCUCAGUGGUAAAGCAUUUGCCUAGAAUGCAUGAGGCCCAGGGUUCUAUCCCAGCACUGAAAAAAGAAAACUUCUGCCUCAAAGAAACAAAAUAAAAAAUAACAACAGGGUUGGGGUUGUGGCUCAGUGCCCAGUACAUGCAAGGCCGGGUUCAAUCCUCAGCACCACAUAAAAAUAAAUAAAUAAAAUAUAGGUAUUGUGUCCAACUACAACUGAAAAAAAUAAAUUAAAAAAAAAAUAACAACAAAGACACCAAGUUUAAUAUAUGGGGUGUUCUUUUCUAAAUUUCCAUAAAUGAUGAACUCAAAUAUAUCCUCCAUUCUCAUGAUUACUUCUUUCAAGCCAGCAUGGCAAGUAUACUAACCUCAAUUCAUUUCCAUCAAAAAUAUAUAGUGAGAAUUACUAUUGGAAAUAAGUUCUUAUUCUUCAUGGUGGCCUCUGUAAAGGUGCAUGGUGGCUAACAUAUUUCUGAAACUGAUGUUCUGUUGUCCUUUGUUUCUAUUUUUGUCUUACCCAGGUAAAAAAUAUAAAGGAGAAAAUGUAAAUAUAUAAUUAGUGAUUUCAUUAACAUAUACUUUAUAAGCAAUUUUGGAGAUUUUAAACUAAUGUUUAAAAUCAUGUGUAAGGUCUGGGGUUGUGGCUCAGUGGUAGAGCACUCACCUAGCACAUGUGAAACCCUGGGUUCAAUCCUUAGCACCACAUAAAAAUACAUAAAUAAAUAAAGAUAUUGUGUCCAACUACAACUAAAAAAUAAAUAUUUUUAAAAAUUUUUAAAAAUAGGGGCUGGGGAUGUGGCUCAAGUGGUAGCGUGCUCACCUGGCAUGUGUGAGGCACUGGGUUCCAUCCUCAGCACCACAUAAAAAUAAAUAAGUGAAAUAAAGGUAUUGUGUUCAACUACAACUAAAAAAUAAAUAUAUUUUUUAAAAAUUUUAAAAAUAAGAUCAUGUUUAAGAGAUAAUUUUCCUUUUCUUUU
rnacentral:lncRNA from 1 species